GUCCCUGUAGCGCAAUGACUAGCGCGUUGGACUUCUAAUCCAAUGUUGUGGGUUCGAACCCUAACUGGGAUG